rnacentral:tRNA from 1 species
AAAGAGAAACGAAUCACGAAACUCGUAUUUCAUUUCAGUUGAAAUUUAAUGUUUUUUC